rnacentral:rRNA from 1 species
UACGUAGGGUGCGAGCGUUGUCCGGAAUUACUGGGCGUAAAGAGCUUGUAGGCGGUCCGUCGCGUCGAUUGUGAAAACUUGCAGCUCAACUGCAAGCUUGCAGUCGAUACGGGCGGACUAGAGUACUUCAGGGGAGACUGGAAUUCCUGGUGUAGCGGUGAAAUGCGCAGAUAUCAGGAGGAACGCCGGUGGCGAAGGCGGGUCUCUGGGAAGUAACUGACGCUGAGAAGCGAAAGCGUGGGUAGCGAACAGG